GCAUAUACGUGUCCUCACCACAUAUAUCGCGGCGUAAAUAAAAUCUUCGUAUCACGACCUGAUUAGCCGGCCAUGCUAUAAUUAGAAGCCGCGCGGUUUAAUCGGCGCACCGUCAGCGUCCCGAUUAAUUAACGCGCGUAAGCGUCUUACGGGCCAGAGGCGCGAUCUUCAUCAACUUUAUCGUGAAUAAGUUUCGCGUGUGAGAAGACAAAAAGGAUGGAAGGCCCCCUCUCCCCCGAUCUUAACGGCGAUCGACGGCGAUUCUGCGGAAGUUCCGGGGCGAAAGGGCGCUGAACGAACGGGAAAUGAUUGGUCAACGACAUCCACAAGAGCCUCUAUGCUUUGGAGAAAAAAAAAAAAAAAAAA